GCAGGCUGCAACUCGCCUGCAUGAAGUCGGAAUUGCUAGUAAUGCAGAUCAGCAUGCUGCGGUGAAUACGUUCCCGGGCCUUGUACACACCGCCCGUCACACCAUGGGAGUCGGUAACACCCGAAGUCGGUAGCCUAACCGUAAGGAGGGCGCCGCCGAAGGUGGGAUUGAUGACUGGGGUGAAGUCGUAACAAGGUACC
rnacentral:rRNA from 1 species